GGGCGUGUAGCUCAGUGGUAGAGCGCCCGCUUUGCAACAAGCGCUUUCCAGCGUUGGUGAAGUCUGCGGGAGGUCUAGGGUUCGAUCCCCUACCCGUCCA